rnacentral:misc_RNA from 1 species
AAGUCGUAACAAGGUUUCCGUAGGUGAACCUGCGGAAGGAUCAUUAACACGUAUCCAAACGUAAAACACCCCCCCCGUGAACAUUCAAUCCUGCUCUUGGAACCCGCGUAGUUCGCAAUCUCUGGUAAAUCAUAGCCCGGAAAGUAGGCUGAGAACCAAGAUAUCCAUUGUUAACAGUUGUUCGGUUUUUUUACCCAAUGUAUUACAUUUGAGCUUCACAUUAAACCGUGGGGUUAUAAGGGCAUGGGGACCCUUUGGCAUAGCUCCUGCCCGAGUGUACGUUCGACAGGAAUCGUUGAAGCGCUAUCCUUGCACAAUCAGUGGCACUUUCAGACACUAACUGACUGGGAAACAAUGCCUAUGAAACUC